rnacentral:lncRNA from 10 species
CACCCUGGGCCGGUGGGGAGCUCAUCACCCUGAAGGGAAGGACACAAGCAUGUCUGGAUUUGCCACCUGCUGACUGAAGAGCGCUUGGGCCUUGAAAACAUUGGUGAUAGCCAGGCAGCGGUCACCAUAGGCCUUGGGCAAGACCCAAUGCUGUGCUGGCUUCUGGUCUGACCCAGUGCGGUCCCAGUGUUGGUGGCCACAAGGGUGCUUGUGUUACAUCUCCACCAGCUCCAGGCAGUGCGGCAUGGAGAGAGAGACUCCGUUUGUUUUGGGGAAAGUAAAGGAAGAGAACAAGAGCCUCUACCUGGCAAUCCAAGGAAUUAUCUCAGACCACCCAGGUGAAACCCCGUCUCUACUAAAAAUACAAAAUUAGCCAGGCGUGGGGGUGCAUGCUUGUAAUCCCAGCUACUCGGGAGGCUAAGGCAGGAGAAUUGCUUGAACCUGGGAGGUGUAUUUUAGGAAGCUGGAAAUUUCAUUUCCCAUACACUCUUGUCAGAUGGCUUUCUGUUAGGUUCCUCCCUGGGAAGCCCUGACAGGAGACUGGGAGUCAGGCAGAG